UUUAAGAUGUAUUGACUUUUUGCUUGUAACGUUUGACCAUUCGUCUUAUUAAAAAAAUAUGGAAGUAUCAUUUAUUUUGUUUGUGACUUACUUUAUCAUCAAAAGUACUUUAAGCAUGACUUAUCAUUUUUUAUAUUUGCACUAAAUUUUUGAAUAAGACAAAUGGUCAAACGUUACAAGCAAAAAGUCAAAACAUCUUACA
rnacentral:pre_miRNA from 1 species